rnacentral:lncRNA from 1 species
GAAGGAAUUUACUGAACAAGGCCAGAGAGAAAGCAACAGUUGUUAAGGCUGCGUUUGGUUCGGGUGUAAGUAAAAACUGUUUAUUUUAUGGAUAGUUACAAGUUUAGGUAAAACUAGGAACUAGACCAAUUUUGUAUUUAAAUGAAAAUUGAAUUGUUUUUAUGAAUAAGGUAAAUAGUGUUUGGAUGGUUAGAUUGGAAAAAAAAAAAAAAGAGUUAUAAUUUUAAAUUAAAAUUAUUUUAUCUAAUUAAUUAACAUCAAAAUAUUACUUAAAAAUAAUUUAAUAAAUUAAUAAAUUUAUUAGCUAUGAAUAUUGUAUAAGAUAAUAAAAAUAUAUUAAUUAAUUAAUUAUAAAAAUACUUUAACUUUUUAUUUACUAAGUAAAUUAUUUUAGCUUGAUAACUAGCUAAAAAAUUAAUUAGACUAAUAAAAAUAUUAAUAGUUGAUCAAUAUAAAUAUUAGUUUAUGUAUAAAUACAUUAAAUAAUUAAUAAUUAAUUAUAAUUAAUUAAUUAAUUAUUUUAUUAUUUAAAUAAUAAAUAAUAAUUUAAAUAUAUUAAUUAGAUUAAUUAAUGAUCUAAUACUAUAAUUAAAUUAAAUUUAGAUUUUAAUUAACCUUGUUCCCACCUGAGAGCAAGUUUGUUGUAGGAAAAAUGGUGAAACAGCAGUUGCAGCCUUAUACCAGCUUAUUUCGGAAAUCCGAAAACUCCUGUUCUCGAUUACCAAACACAAUGUUUGGGAACAAAAAGGAGAAUAAGGACUUAUUCCCCCUUUAUUCCCGGACUAAACACUGCCAAAAGAGUACAAUACAUACAAAAUUAUAGAGAUUAAUUUAAGUGUUUAAGUAAACAAUGAACCAACAAUUAUGAUUAUAUAAAUUUAAUUGUUGGAAGAAAGAUAUACACUACAAUAAGGGCUUGUUUGGUUCAAGGGUGGAAUUGAAAUGGAUAAUGGAAUGGAAAUGAAUUGGAAUGGUAAUUGGAAUGGCCAACUCCUCCAAGAUGUUUGGUUUAUUUGUGGAUUGGGAAUUGGAAUGAGUUAUUCACAUUUGAUUGUUUGGUUCGUAUAAACUAAAAAAAUUAUAGAAUACUAUAAUACUAAUUUUACUCUCAAAUAUAAAUUUAUAUUAUUUAAAAUUUAUGAAAAAUAUAAUACUAUUCUCUAAUAAGUUUUCCAAAAAAAAAAUUAAAUUUAUUUUUAAAAACUUUUAUUGAUGUGGGUUAGGGAUAGAGUUUUGAGAGAUGAUAGGUUUUUUUUUUUUUGUUUGAUGAGAAAGGGGUGAUGAGAAGGAGGGUGAGAUGGUGACAUGGGCUUCGAGAACCUAGUGGGCUUUCGAAAUGAAAUCUCAAUCCGGACUAGAAGACCGGAAUCAAGUUGAAGGCUAAUGGGUCAUUCCCAUUCCAGUCCGGAAUAGGAAUCCCAAAUCGAUUCAUGCGAACCAAACAAAAUUAACCGGAUUUGAUCAAACCGAUUCCCAUUCCAUACCCAAAAUGGAUGAACCAAACAAUCCCUAAGGCUGCGUUUGGUUGGAGAACUAAAUUUUGGAGAACAACUUUUGUUGUUCCCGAGAACAGAGAAUAUUCCGGUACAAGAUAGAACAAUUGUAAAUUUGUGUUUGGAUGCAUUCGAGGAUAUUCUAGAGGAUAUCCUUAAUAGUGUUUGGAUAAAAAGUCUAGAACAACGUCUAAAUAUAUUUUUAAAAAUAAAAUAAUUAAUUUAUAUUAGUAUAUUUUAUAUAAAAUUAUUUAUAAAAUUAUUUCAUAUAGUAAUUUAUAAUAUAAUAUUUUAUGUAAGAAUCUAAUUUAAAAUAAUAUAUAUUAUUUUAUUAUAUAUAAUAAUUUAUUUUAUGUAAUAAUUUAUUUUCUAUAAUUUAUUCAUAAUAUAUUAAUGAAUAAAGUAUAAUACUAACAAUAUCCCUAUAUUUUUAAUUAAUAAUUAGUAUAAAUUUUAAUACAAAUAAAAAAUAUAUAUAUAAUUAAAUAUUAAAAUAUAAAUGAUAAAACUUAAUAAAAUAAAAUAUAUAUCAAAUUUAAUUAAUUUAUAUUAUAUAAUAAAAUUUAAGUAUAAAUAUAUUAUCAUAAAAAUAAUAUUUAUAUUAAUAUAUUUAUUUAUUAAAUUUGAGUAUUCAUUUAAUUUAUUUGAAAUUAAUUAAAAUAAAGUAUAAAAAAUUAAAAGGCCAGAAAAAAAAAAGAAAAAAAAGAAAAAAAAAAGCCCAAAUCUCUUGUCCAGCUUGUUUUAGGGAGAACAAGCUUACCGGAUUGUUCCCGGCUUAACGGGUUGUUCCGGGAACAACCCGGUUGUUCCAAAAUGCAUUGUGUUUGGAGGGAUAUCCCGUCUUGUUCUAGGAUAUCCCUCCAAUCAAACGCAGCCUUACAGAGUAAUUCUAGUUUUACUGUUUGUUCCAGUUCUAUCAAACCAAAUAGUGAACUUAUAACAGCACUUAAACUCUAGUUUUAUUAUACCAGUUACUAGUACUUACGAUCGAAAACAAACAUACGCUUAAUAUGGCCGCUCUUUAUUAAUGAAACUUGGCCAUAUUCAAUCAAUAUAUCCAAUAUUUGUAUCACCUGGGCACUUAGCUCUUCUUCGGGCAUUAGGUCCCAAGUUCAAUUCAUGCUUUGUGAGUAGAAAGAUGUGCGCGUACUGCAUAGGACCAUCUCAGAAAGAGAAAGGAAAAAAAACGGGUAAAUUGCAUUGUUACCCCUUAACUUUUGGCGAAGUUUUACUUUACCCCUCGAACUUCUAAAAUGGACAUCUAACUUCCUAAACUAUAAUAUUUCGUUCAUGUUACCCCUUUCGUCAGUUUUCCGUCAAGCUCCGUUAACCGGAAACUGACGGAAGGGGUAAAACGAAUGAAAUAUUAAAGUUUAGGGUGCUAGAUGUCUAUUUUAGGAGUCUGGGAGGUUAAGUGAAACUCGUCAAAAGUUCAGGGAGUAACAAUACAAUUUACCCAAAUUUUUACUAUAAAUUAUUUUUAUAUUUUUAUAUUAAAAAUUUUUAAUUGGCUGAAAUGAAGUACAAAAAAUUUAUUUAAGUGUAUUUUAUAGAACAAUACUUCUAAAGAUAAAAGGGACAAACGAGUACUACAGAAAAUUAACUGAGAAUUAAAAUUUCUAUAUCCGAGUGAGGACACCUAUUGUAAAUCAACCAUAUUAGCGAGUACGUUGGGAUAGUAGAGUGUUUGAAUAUCGUAGGUAGUUAGUAUCACUCUUUUUUUAUCUUUAAGCCACUCUAAUUCAUUUCUUUCACUUUUAUUUUAUUACAAUAAAAUGUAGAAUAAAUUAUGGUAUGAUUUAUUUUAGGAUAAAAAAUAUAUAUAAAUUCAAAAUCAAGCAUGAUCACUAACUUGAAAAUUAGUAGUCAAUCCAUAAAAAACAUAUUAUAAUAAAAUAAUUUAUAGUCAAGAGUUCCUUACGGAGUAAAUUGCACUACUACCUCCUGAACUUUUGGCGAGUUUCACUUAACCCCCCAAACUUCUAAAAUAGACAUCUAACACCCUAAACUUUAAUUUCUCAUUCGUUUUACCCCUUCCGUCAGUUUCCGGUUAACGGAGCUUGACGGAAAACUGACGGAAGGGGUAACAUGAACGAAAUAUUAGAGUUUAGGGGGUUAGAUGUCUAUUUUACGAGUUCGAGGGGUAAAAUAAAACUUCGCCAAAAGUUCAAGGGAUAACAAUGCAAUUUACCCGAAAAAAAACAAAAGGAAAAUGGU